ACAGGAAUUAGCUUGCUAAUUUGCUGACGAGUGGCGCACGGGUGCGUAACGCGUAUACAAUCUACCUUUUGCUGAGGGAUAGCCCAGAGAAAUUUGGAUUAAUACCUCAUGGUAUUAUUGAUAGGCAUCUAUUAAUAAUUAAAGGUUACGGCAAAAGAUGAGUAUGCGUCCCAUUAGCUAGUUGGCGAGGUAACGGCUCACCAAGGCAACGAUGGGUAGGGGUCCUGAGAGGGAGAUCCCCCACACUGGUACUGAGACACGGACCAGACUCCUACGGGAGGCAGCAGUGAGGAAUAUUGGACAAUGGGCGAGAGCCUGAUCCAGCCAUGCCGCGUGCAGGAAGACUGCCCUAUGGGUCGUAAACUGCUUUUAUACAGGAAGAAUAAGCCUUACGUGUAAGGCGAUGACGGUACUGUAAGAAUAAGGACCGGCUAACUCCGUGCCAGCAGCCGCGGUAAUACGGAGGGUCCGAGCGUUAUCCGGAAUUAUUGGGUUUAAAGGGUCCGUAGGCGGAUGAUUAAGUCAGGGGUGAAAGUUUGCAGCUCAACUGUAAAAUUGCCUUUGAUACUGGUCAUCUUGAGUUGUAUUGAAGUAGGCGGAAUAUGUAGUGUAGCGGUGAAAUGCAUAGAUAUUACAUAGAACACCAAUUGCGAAGGCAGCUUACUAAGUACUAACUGACGCUGAUGGACGAAAGCGUGGGUAGCGAACAGGAUUAGAUACCCUGGUAGUCCACGCCGUAAACGAUGGAUACUAGCUGUUCGGG
rnacentral:rRNA from 1 species